AUUUUUUUAUUGUUCUAUUUUAUUGUCUCAUCUCUUCUAAAAUAGCUAUAGUGUUGUAGUCGUCAUAUUCUUCUAUUAUUUCUGUUGGUCCUAAUUUAUAUCCAUAAAUUAGUCUGCAACCCGUGCAUGUGCACGGGUUGUUUGGUAAGUGAUUUGCAAAUGGUGAUGGACAGCAAAAUAUAAAUGUUGAUUAACAGCAAAAUAGAUUUAAGAAACAUGGAUGAACACAGUAAAAUAGACUUAGGAAACAUUAAUAGAGUUUGUUGAAACUACAUCAGCAAGAUUUUUUUUUUCAAAAUUCCAGACUACGAAAGGCAGUUUAAUCGGUGUCGCUAUCGUCCCAAUCAUCCUGCCUUCUAAUUACAAUAUCCCAAUUUUUUUCAUAAUAUCUAUAGUAAAUAGAGAUUUCAUCUCCAUCAUCAAAGUCCAUUUCUUUAAGAAAAUCAUACCAUGGUUGAACAACGCCUUUUCCACCAAUAGUAGGAUUCAGGGUUUCAACUUUCCAUUGCAAUGGAGGACUAAAUCGCCUUAAGACUGUCAUGUGGUGACCACAAGCUUUAAGAGGAACUUUUGUACAACGCGGGAGUUUCUGCAGAUAGAAAAAAGUAAAAUUGAUAAACUGCUAAAAAUAUGUUUAAAGAGAUUAAUGUAUGAAAGGUCAACUUACCAGGGGUUCAAGAGCAUCCAGCAUUUCCUGAGUAAACCGAACAGUCCAGAUAUGCUUUCUGGAUGAAUGCCUCUGCCUACCACAAGUUUGUCGCUCCAGUGGUGGUAUGAAAUGUAUGUCAAAUACGCAGUGACGGUCACAGGCAAAAAAUUUAAUGGUGGUUGACUAGUAGAUUUUCAAAUCUUUCCUGAAGUUUUCGAGUCCAUCUGCCAAAUACACUCUUUCUUUGUGUUGUCUAACCCGUAUUUCGUAGAUGGCUCCAUUAUAUCUCAGGUGAACAAACUCGGGAUACUAUGGUGCCCAUUGUGUAUGGUAGAACGUUGGAAGUUGUAUGAUGUUCUGCAAAAAAACUGAGAAAUGUAAAUGCAUGUAUAUGGAACGAUAAUACUAAUGAAAGAAUUGCAAAAUAAGGAAAUAAUCAAAGAUGACUUUGUCGUUGUUGAAGGCAGCGAUAAAUUGGAUGAUCAACGGUGGGCCGAUCAUGGGAUUUUUCAUCUGCAAUGACAAAGAUAUCGUAAUUUUAAUAGAUUAAGUGUUGAUGUUGAAGAAAAGGGGAAAAAAAAUUUCUGCGGUGAAGAGCAGAAUAGGAAUGACUUACUUCACUUGAUGUUGUUGAAGAUGUGCUCUUCAUUUUGUGGAUGGCGUAAAAUUGAACUUUGCACAGAAAAGUGAAAGAGGAUUUGUAGGAGAAGGUAGGUUAUAGCGUUUUCUAGAGUGUAAUAUUUAAUGCAUGCAUGUUCCUAAUGCUAUAAUUGACGGUUGAUUUGAUCAUUGUUUUUAAGUUUAGCACAGUUGUCAAGAGGUGUGAAGUGAACAAGUGCCAAGUAAUUGAAGAGUUUUUGUUAAAAGCAGAAGGUUACGGUCCAGUUUUUUUUUUCACGCUGGACAUGAGGAUUGGCACAAUUUCUAGAAUUCCUUGUUAGCAUUGUUUUUAAUAUAUUGCAGAGUGGCCAAAUUUGAACAUAUAUUGUGUUUUGUGUGCCUAGUGAAUAUCAUGUGAUAUUUUUUAAUCAUAUGAUGUCUGAAGCAUAUAUACAAUUUUUUAAAAAUAAUUAUGUCAUGCUGCAUAACUAGAUUUUUUUUAAUGUGGUAUUUUUUCUAAAAUAAGAAUGAUGUUGUUUUCAACCAAUAGAGCAUAUGCAGCAUAAUCUGAUAUAUUUGCAGGAUUGGUAUAAGUGAAUUUUUUUCAUAGUCGCACAAAAGUGCAAGGAAAAUUUGAUAAACAUUCUUUAAAAAAUAAUUAUCAUAUAAGGAGUAGCAGAUGAAACAAAAAGAAAUUUUAACCUCAAUGGAAUGCUAGAUACAUUAUUAUUGAACUUCAAUUGUUUAAAUUCCUAUGUUUUGGAGAAAAAUAAAUAGAAUUUUUACAGAUAAAUGUCAAAGAAAGAAUUUCCAACUUAGUUCUUGUUUAAAUUUCUAUGUUUUGGAGAAAAAUAAACACAAUUCUUACAUAGCAGAAAUUGAAUAUGCCUGCCAAAAAUUUGUAUCCUAUUUUCAUAAUAUUAUUCAUGGGUCAGAUAUAUUGAAGUCAUUUGAUUGUAGUUCACUUGCAGUAGCUGUUAUUUGUGGAUGAAAGGCAGUCAUUCUAUGAUUUCCCUAUAAAACAAUGCAAUUAAAUAUCAACAGCAUUGUUUAAUUAAGUAAAAUACAUUUUUAAAGCUGCGAUAGCACUAUGCUAAGCUGCGAUAAAGUGCUAAAUAUUCAGAGGUUAUGGAUAUCUUUGUAAGUAAGUUAAGUAAAUGAAAUUGUAAAUGCAAGAUAGAAUUAUAAACUUAAGCUGUCAGAUUUUAAUGUAGUAACUAAGAUUACAUACCUGAUAAUGUAGAAUUUAAGAUUGUGAUAUAUGAUGUCAUCCUUAGCUGUAUGUUAGAAUGUACAUGAGUAAGAUAGCAGUUUAGAAUUGUUGCCAAUAAAUAGUAGAAUUUGUUCUUUCAAAAUUUAGAGUUACCUUGUAAAAUUUUUGAAAACCUCUUUAAAAACUACAUUGGUAGUAGAAGUCAUAUUUUUUUGGUCUUUAUCAUGAAUAAGUGUUGGACCUUGUGGGCUCAAUAAUCUUAAGAGGGAUAGGCUUAGAAUGCAAAAGAAGCAACAAAAAUCAAUUUAAUAAUGUUCUAUGAACAUGCAAGGCAAAAUUGAUUGCAAUAACAUAAAUGAGAUAAGGGAAGAGAGAAUGCAAACACAAUUUUAUACUGGUUCGGCCACUUCCCGUGCCUACAUCCAGUACUCAAGCAACCCACUUGAGAUUUCCACUAUCUUUGUAAAAUCCAUUACAAAGUCUGAACCACACAGGGACAACCCAUCCCUUGUGUUCAGGAAUCCUUUACAACAAGAGACUCACAGUCUCUUAACUAAUCUCAUUGAAUAAGAAGAAUGGAAGAAGAAUUUUCUCUUCAAGAGAAGAAUAUUACAAUAAAGAUCAUGUAGGAAUCCUUAUAGAUUUUGUAAGUGUUUGGCCAAGGAUUUCUUUUGAGAGAGCAUUUGACAAUGAAGUUCUUUUGGAAUCUCUCUCAUUGUUUUUUGAGAGGAUAAGACACUUUUGCCAAGCAAAACUCUCUCUUCAAUUUCGUCCCAAGUCACACAUAUAUAUAGGCCUUUGAUGGCCAUUCAAAAUUCAAAUGAUAAGAUGUGACUGUUGGCGAUAUUCCUUGAAAAUCCUCUCUGGUAAUCGAUUACAGAAUUAGUGUAAUCGAUUACACAGUUGUUUUUCUUGAACAGUUGUGACCCUUCAUUUAAAAUUUGAAUUCCCAACAUUCAGAGUCUCUGGUAAUCGAUUACAUAUGAUGUGUAAUCGAUUACACACUUUCAAACCAUUGGUAAUCGAUUACAUGUGCCUUGAAUGACUUGAAACCUUUCAUUGUGAGGCAAGGCUUGAUCUUGAAGAAAUCUUGAACCAAGGCUUUGUUUGUUGAAACAAUCUUGUAUUAAUCUUGAAGCAAAAUGAGCCUUGUUUGAUUCUUCUUUUGACAUCAUCAAAAUCAUGUAUACAUACAUUCACAUUCUCCCCCUUUUUGAUGAUGACAAACAUGUGAUUUCUUCUCAACACCAUCAAAGCUUGCAUGAUUUACAUUCUCCCCCUUUCUCAAGCAAAUUCUUAAUUCUUCUUGACAUCAUCAAAAUCUUCAUGAUUUACAAUAAGAACUUUUAAUCCUUUCCUUGAAUUGACCCUUGAUAAUGCAAUGCAUAAUUGUCCAUGGCUAAAGACGGGUUUUGGCAAAUAAAGUCCAACCAUAGAAAGUGAUUGGCCUUGAGACUUGUUAAUUGUCAUUGCAUGAGAUAGCAUGAUUGGAAAUUGUCUUCUCAAAAGUUUAAAAGGCCAUGGUGAUUGUGAAGGCAACAUUGACAUUCUUGGGAUGUAAACAUUAUGGCCAAGAUUUUUGCCAGAAAUAAUUUCAGCUGCAAUUACAUGUUUGACUAGUCUUGUAACUAUUAAUCUAGUACCAUUACACAGGCCUUGCGUUUGGUCUAAGUUUCUUAGCAACAUUAUAGGACUACCGAUUUUUAGCUUGAUACAAUGAUUUUGCAUACCAGAUGUGUUUAGUGAAUUGAGAAAUUCAGUGGUAAUUGAUUGGAAAUUCCAACUGUCAAUGCUUUCUGAUUUCUCUAUACAAUCAGAGCUUAAGUAUUCCAUGUGUUCACCUAUUAUAUUUAUUUCAAUUAGCAUGCAAAUUUAAAUAGAGCAUAAAUAUUAAAUAGAUGCUAGUUUUUGUAAGUUUCAGAUAUGUAUAAAUACCUGGAAUCAAAGAAAGUAUAUAACCAUUAACCUCUUCAACUGUUUCAUUGGUGGAAGCUAAUAUUGCUCUACAUUUGAAGAAUUCAGGAUUACUGUGGUGUUGGUAUAAAUCUGGGAAUGUUGAUCUGACUAUAGCAUCAAUGGGGUCAUUAUAUUCAGUAAUCAGUAGGUACUCAGGAAUUUCAACUGUAGCAUAUCCAUCAUUUUGAUUCCCAAUAACUCCAUCUCCAAUAUCUAGAAUCCACUUUGCAAAUUUAGCAGUUCCUUAAUCAUCAACUGAUUGGGCAUUGGCUUGUAAACGCAAGUUUUUUGUGAGUGUUAAUACUUCACAUGAAGGCCAGAGAUAUGAUGAAUUGAUUGUUUCAUUUAUAAUGUCUGAACGGCUUCCUCUUGGAAUGACUGGCAAAAUUUGUCGGAAAUCUCCACCAAAUACAAUAACUUUGCCUCCAAAAAUUUGAUUGGGAUUUUUUUCUUUAAUAAUGUCUGUUAAACUUUGAUCAAGUGUUUGAAAGAAAAAUUUGUGAGCCAUGGGUGCUUCAUCCCAAAUUAUCAUAUUUGUCUAAUUUAGCAAUUCUGCUAACUGACUUCCUUGAAGUAUGUUGCUUGUUGAGUCUUCGAAAAUUGGCAUAGGUAUCUUAAAUUUGGAAUGGACAGUCUUGCCUCCUAGCAACAACAGAGAAGCUAUGCCGCUAGAAGCAACCAUAAUCACAAUUUGAUUUUUUGCCCUCAGUGAACUUGCUAAUGUUCUCCAUAUGUAUGUUUUUCCUGUACCUCCGUAUCCAUAUAGGAAAAACAUGUCACCUUCAUUGUUGUUGACAGCUUGCAUAAUUUUUUGAUAAAUUUGCUUUUGUUCAUCUAGAAUCAAGAAUAAGUUGAGAUUAGAUAGAAAUAAAGAAUAAGUAGAUGCAAAAUUGGAAGAUACAGAUGAAAUUUAACUUUCUUAAAUGCAAUUUAUAAUAUAUGAAUUGGUAGAUUACCUGUCAUAGAUGAAAAAAGAUUUUCGAAUUCUAAUCUAGCCUCAUCAUUGUUGUAAUUGAGUUCUGAUAAUAUCAAGCUAUUCUCUAGACACCAUGCAGGAUUUGCACCCUCAGGAUAUGGCAUUGUAGGAUAGUCUUUUAGUGAUUUUUGGUUUGCAUGUUGAAGUUUUUCAAUUUCCAGUAAUGUUAAAUUUUUAAGUUUCUCAUCAUCAAUGUGUAAUUCUAACAAAUGAUAAAGAAAAUAGUUAAACAAUGCCUAUCUCUGAUGUUAUUCAACAUACAAAGUUACAAACUCAUAAAAACUAACCUGUGUUUACUGUUGUUUUUUUAUAAUGAUAUGCAAUGUCUUCAGCUAACCAAUUCCAUGUCUGAUUCAAAAGUUCUUCAAGUUUAGUAAUGACACCUGUUAAUAGCAUUAAGACAAAUAAUUUCCUCAAAUAAUUAGUUGUGCCCCAAUCCUUAGCUUUUUUGAUUGCUUCCACAAAUUCUCUGUCAUCUUGCAAAAAACUCAUUGUGAAGCAUGCUUCUCUAUAUGUAGGGUAUAGAACAUUUUCAACUGUUCUAAUAUCCUCAAAUGAAGUAGGUCAUUUGCAUGUAGUAAGCAUCAUUCUUAAAUAAAAUAAUUCUCCAGUGGUUGGUGGAACCCAUAUUAGCCUCCCAAUUGUAUUGCCUUUCUUUCUGAGGUUCCAUGAUCUAGCCUUUUGGUUGUACACGAAUUUGGAAACAAAUUGUGAAUAAGUAAGAUUUCUACCUUCUGAAAAAAAAUUGUUUCUAUUCAUCCAAACUAAGAAUUUUGAAUCUGAAAUGGUUGGCUUUGAUAGGAUAUCAUCUAUAUCAUCAUCAUCUUCAUAAAGAACAUUGUGUUGGCCUGGCAAAUGAAAAUGUAAUCUCUCGACAGUAGGCUUUCUAGCAUGUAUUGGAAAACCAAAAAUUCUCCUAGUAGCUUCACAGGAAGAAAUAUAUAUGCCAUAAAAAAUCCAUAAUUAAAGAAGUUAAUUAAAGAAACAAUGAGCAAAUGAAGUAUGCAUGUUAAAUUAAUAUUACCUGUAAUCUACAUAUUCUUUAAUCUCAUCAUUUUGAAUGAUAGGAUUCUCAAGUGCACCAUUAGCAUCAUAAACAACAACAACAGUGACUCUGUCAUAACCUUUUUUUAUGUAUUUAAAUAGAUAUUUAAUGGAAGUAUUUUGAUUACACCAUUCAAUAUUUAUAUGUGCUUGAUAUUUCCUCAGUAAUUUUGCAUUGUAAGGUACUAUAUAUCUAUUAUCAAUAAUAACACCAUUCUUUGAGAUUGUAUGACCAUCAUUUCUUCUAUGAUAGACUGGAUAGCCAUUUGAAUCUAAAACAGUCUGAGGCUGAAACAUUUUAGGGUAAAAACGGCUACACAUGCCUUCUUUCAUACAUGGAGACUUAGAUUGUAGAAUUCCACAUGGGCCAUGUACCAUAUGAUUUUGCACCAAUGUAUACAGUUCAGGGUCAUUUUCAUGUGAAGGAUUUCUACUGAUAUUAUCUAGUCAAUUUCAUCUGUAGAUGGAUAUUUAUUGCCUAGGUGUAAAAAUAGCAAUGGAUGCAAGUGAGGAAGUCCUCUUUUUUGAAAUUCAAUUGUGUGCAUAUCUGCAAUUGUUAGUUGAUAGUAUUAAUAGUGCAAUAGUAAUAUAGAAAUUUUGUACAGUUGUAUCAUAUGAGGAAAAAAUGGAAAGUAAUAAAUGAAUGUAUAAGUUUAACAACCAUAUUAAUAGCAAACUCAUAUGCGACUACUUUUCCAAGCAGGUGUUUUUUUGUUAAGUCAAAAAGCAUAUGUUCAUACUUCAAUCUGAAAACACGAGAGAUAAGAUCUGGUCUAUCUAUUGCUUUCAGAUUCAAAGGUGCAAGUACUCUACGGAUUUCAGGCCAAUUUGGAUUACAAGUUAAAGUAAUAAAAAGAUUUGGAAAACCAACAUGGCUGCAUAUUUUCAUACCAUCAAAGUAAAGUUGAUCCAUAUAACGUGGACUGCCAACAAAAGUUGAAGGCAAAAUCACUCUUUUUCCUUUAGAUGAGUCUUUACUGCUUCCAGCAUCCAAUGAUGUUUGUAAACUACAAUACUUGUCAACUCUAAGUUUUUUUUUGGUUGUUCCUAAUGUAGCUAAGUCUUUCGGACUCAACCAUGGUAUAUGCUUCAACAAUAAAUUGUUGGAAUAGUUUUCUAGAAUGCAACAAAGUUUGUGCUUCACUUGACCUGGACUGAAGUCUAUAAGCAAACCAAUCUCUCAUUGUUAGACAAUUUAUCUUCCUUUUUCUGCUGCCAAAUGUAGAACAGUGAAGUAUGUCAGGUCUAUAUCAAUCUUCACCAUAAGGGAAGAGUAAAGGGUACUGCAGUCCUAGAUAGCUAGAGUGUAAUUCAUGGAUUCUUUGUAAUUCUCCAUUUUGAUUUUCAACAAUAAUAUCCCUUCUUGAGUCUGCAUCAAAAUCACCAACAAUCAGGGCAGCAACUUCAGAAACAUUUGGGAGAUUGUAUGUACGACCAUCCUUUUCACGUCCAGCUAUCAAUCUCAAUUUCACAUUAUCUAGUUGAUUAUCUGCCAAUCUAUCCCUGGCCAUUCUAAAACUUUUUGCAUGGGCAUUGUGGUCAUCUAGCAUUUGACUUAAAGUUGAAACAAUGUGUGGCUGAAUUGUUGCAUGUUGGCUGCAGAAAACAAUAUCAAAAUACAUCCAUUAUUGUUAGAAAACAUGUUUUGCCAAUCAGAAUUCUUCAUAUUUGAUAAUAAAAGAAACAAAAGAACUACUACGUCAUGAUAUUAAUUCUAUUUUCAACUUCAUUCUACGUAUCAAAGAUAUAUAAUUAUGCAAAUUUCGGUUGUUUUCCAGGCAUUGGUAAUAGGCUGCCUAUUCGAUGGCAUGGUUGGCCCUGAAUUCUAAUUGUAGGAGGUCCUCUGGUUUCAUUAAUUGAUUUGUCUAGCUUAAUACCAGCAAAGGUAAAGGCAAACAUCAUGUUAUAUGUCCGUAUGUUAUGUUGAUAAUUUUUACUAUCAGUUGCAUUAUCAUCAAACAGAAGUCGCUCAAGAUAUUUUGUUGGAUUUUGUAAUAAUGGAAGUUCAACUUUGUCAUCUCCACAACAUAAGCUGAACUUUGGACUUGUUGUAUUCUUAUCUUUUGAAAUUCUUUCAUUAUACCACAUUUUUGCAUUACAAUGUCUACAUUGCAUGACUUGAUCACCCAAGUCAGAAUAGCCUGAAAUUGUUUAAUGAGAUAGUACAAUAUAAUUUGAAGCAUAUCAAUUGAUAUUGUUAACCUUAUAUCAAAGCUAUAAUUAUUACCUUCAUUGUUGAUUGCAGGUUCAUUAGUGUUGGAUUGGCAAUUUUCAUUCUCAAACAAAAAAUUAGAAUCAGAUGUUGUAACAAUUUGAGUUAGAUAUCAUAGCUAUAAUUAAAAUUUGCGAAAAAAAUGGAGCAAGGAUUUUCAAUCAUCGUACCUUGUGUGGAUUCAGAAUUUAUUUCUCUAAUGAAUCAGUUGUUAUGACUUAAAAAGAGAGACAAAAUAAGUAAAAUUGAAUAGACUAAUGUUUUUUUUAAAAGAAAAAAUGUUAUUUAUAAUUUCUCACCAUGACAUUGUAUAUCUUCCAAAGUGGAAUCUAUAUUUGCCUCAUGUGGUGUCUGAAGCUGAGUCUUUUUUUUUUUUUGCAGGAUAGUUUCCCUAUUCAUCGUGGCUUUAGCUGAGGUAGAUGGAUUUGCAUGUGCAUGGUUUUGCAUGUCGUCAAUUGAUAUCGAUGAAGUUGUUUGAUAUAUAAAUUCACCACCAAAAACUUUUGAAAUGCACAAAGAGAAAAUUAAACAUCAAAGGAAUUGCAAAUGUGCAGUUGUGCAAUAAAGAGAAAAUUAAAUAUGAAAGUUGAAUUUAAGUAGGUUGGAAAAUGAUCCAUGUAACAAUGAUCAGACUCACAUGUAAAGAUAUUGUAUAUAGAGGAGUAAGUUGUUGAUAUAGAAUCAGCUAUGUGAUUGAUCUGCACCUUUAAAGCUGAAGAAUUUGGAACUCAGCUUGGAACAAAAGAUGAAAUAUUUUGUAAAUUAAUAAACAAAUGUUAGUUGACAUCAAGCAAGAGAUGGCAAAUAUCAAAUCUGCGUUUGGUGGAUUAAAUGUGAUUAGAUGUUUUCAUAUAAUGGAUUUCAUAAUUAAUGAACAAAUUUCUUUUGGCACAGAGCAAGAUAUGGUAAGUAUCAAAUCUUGAAAUUAGCAGCCAAAACUAUAGCUAAAGAUUCAUGGGUAAAUUAAUAAAGAAAUUUUAAUUGACAUGAAGCAAGAGAUGACAAAUAUCAAAUCUGGGUUUGGUGGAUUAAAUGUGAUUAGACAUUUUUAUAUAAUUGAUUUGAUAAUUAAUAAACAAAUUUCUUUUGGCACAGAGGAAGAGAUGGUAAGUAUAAAUCUAGAGUUGUUGCAAUAAAAAAGAAAGCUAAGGAUGAAAUUGAAAUUAGAAGGCAAAACUACAACUAAAGAUCCACGGGUAGAAAAAUUUGGUAUAUAGCAAUUAUUUCAUUUCCAUUUAGAGACAGGGGUUGCUGCCAGUGCAGAAAACUUUGAUAUCAAAGGUUGUUGAAUCUCUCUUUGAUUGAUCAAUAUGUGAUAUUUCGAAUCCUCAUUCCUAAUGGAAUUGAAAUAAAGAUAGGAUUAAAUAGUUUUUAAAAUUACUUAAUAUACCAAUCUAUUUUGCCGAUUUUAAUGACUCAUAACUAAUGUUUAAGUAGGCAAAAAAUUGAGUUUAAUUGGUAAAUGUUAGCUUAUGUUUUAGUUUUUUGUGUAAUUCCUUCAAAAAAAAACCUUAAUUCAUUAGUUAACUUGACUUGUUUACAUUGAUCAGGAUUUUGACAACAAUUGAACAUAUUGCAAUUUCAUAAUAGUAUGGAAUCAAAAUAAUCCUUGUGUUCAAUCUCUUUUUAGUUAGUACUCAGCAGAGAGAAAAAAAACCUUAAUUCAUCAGUUAACUUGAGUUGGAUUGAUAAGGAUUUUGACAACAAUUGAACAGAUUGCAAUUUCGUAAUAGUAUUUCAUAAUAGAACAUAUUGCAAUUUCAUAACAGUAUUAACAAAUAGAGUAAUGGAAACCUAAAAAAAUAGUUGUUUCAUUUAAUCUGAGUAGCACAUAAAAUGCUCAUAGCUCGAAAUGGAGAAGCAAGCAUAGAGAAAAGAAGCAGUUUUGGUUUCGAACUGCAAAAUGAACUUAACCAAAAUGACACAAGAAUGGGAUUCUACAAAACACCCAACACUUAAUGUUCCAACCAUGUGGCCCAUCCAAAGAGUGAAAAAACCACAAAAAGUGUCACGGGGCAAAUAUUACAAUUUGCUCAUACCAUGAUAAAAAAAAAACAUCCAAGACAACCUGUGAACAACUUAAUUCAUUCAGCCUGGCAAUGCUUGGGUAAUUUAUUUGAGGAAACUUGCGUAGGUGAAAUCUCAAAGUUUUUGGGUUCAUCAUCCAACUCAUCAGAGGAUACACGCUUAGUUGGUGUUAAUGGAAUCCUGAGAAGAGGGUCAUGAUCCGUGGUAACAGACACAGAUUGUUGCAUGUUAGUCGAUGAAUACGACUAACUUUUGUGUAUAAAACCUGUGUAAAUUGUAUCAAACUCCUCCAAUUUAUGGUUAUUUUGUAGUGUUGUAAUUACUUUUGGGUAAAGAUAGGUAAUAAAUACUUAGUACUUCCAUUUUGUGUGUUUAAUAAUCAUUUUCUCUCAAUUUCAGGUUAAUUAGGCGAGUUUGUAUAGUGUUGAUUUUCACCCUCUCGUUAAGCCAACCUGUCGGCUUAGCGAGUCAUCCGCUGAGCGCAACACUCCUCGGCUAAGCACGAGGAAGAAUCUAGAAGAAGGAUGAGUUGUGCAUGUUUGCUGAGCGAAGGGCCACUGCUUCAGUCCAUUCGCUGAGCGAGAAAAGCCCGCGCUAAGCCGAAAUUCACUAAUGUGCGCUAAACGGUUCAGAAUUGCGCUAAGUGCACGAGCACGAACAAAGCCACCUAUUUAAGCCUGAAAUCAGAUUUUGAAAAGGGAGUUUGGCCUUUUCUUGAAGCUUCUGCAUGUCUAGAGAGUUCUAGAGAGAGAAAGGUCCAAGUUCCAGAGAGUUUGAGAGAUUUUGUUGUGUGAAGAUCUGCAGAGACCAGAGCUUGAAGAGGGAGCCGUCCUGAGAGCUUGAGAUGAGUUUAUGAGUGAUUGUGAGGUCUUAGAGGUGGAGGAGACAUCCCCACCACUUGUAUUUCUUCAAUCCUUCAUCUUUCUCUUCUCUUUGUUGUAAAGGAAGUUUUCCAGUUAUGGAGAGCUAAAUCCUCUGUUGGUUCUUCCUUGUAGGUACUUGAUGUAAAUACCUGUAUAUCUAUUUAAUGAUGUUUUGUGUGUUCACUGUGCUAUCAGAACUUCAUUCUACCAUGCUUUUGCCUUGAUCAUAUAGCUGCAUGUGUUUUUAGGAUCAUUCAAUAGUGGAAACUGUUCUGAUUCUUAGAACAUGAUAGGACAGGGUUAGUUUGUCGUACUAUCACGAGGGAUCGAGGUACGAUAACUUAGUUGUUGUAUGUUUGUCUUAAUGCAGUCCUGGCCGAGUUUAGUCCAACAAGAGGAAUCUGCGAACGAUGCUUGAUCAGGAUUAGGCUAGACUAUCAUGAGGAAUCGGGGUUUAGCAUUUCAGGAGACACCAUAGAACGCAUAAGCAUUGUUAAGUAAAGAAUAUCCUUUUAACAUCAGACACCUAUUAGGAAGACCAACGUAUUACCUACUUGUCUUUACGCAUCAUUACUCACGUGAUUUUCCUUUUUAAUAGUUAGUUUACACACUUAUUCAUAGUUAACACAUCUCUUUUCACACUAGACACCUAUUCACUGAAAUAGUUUUACCAAGUAACACAACUUCCCCGAGAGUUCGAUACUCGGUUCUUACCGUUUUAUACUACUUGUGCGAUCCGGUGCACUUGCCGGAAGCGAACACUGCAUAAAAUAUUAACUAAUCAAUAAGCUAAAUUUUGUUGCCAUCAUCACAAGAUACACCAGGAAAAACACACAAGGACAAUGGUAGCUUACAGAUUCAAGCUCUAUAGGGUCAGUUGAGUCAAGCAUUGAACGGUCAUCAUCGACGGUAACAAACACAGAUUGCUACAUAAAAUAUUAAUUGAUGAGUGAGCUAAAUUUUGUUGCCAUCAUUGCAAGAUACACCAGGAAAAACACAAAAGGACAAUGUUAGCUUACAGAUUCAAGCUCUUUAGGGUCGGUCGAGUCAAGUAUUGAACUCUCAAUCUUGCAACAUGGCUGCAUGAUAUAUGAAUUGAGAGUAAAGAAACAAAUGGAAUAUAUGGAUACAGUCACAAUAACAAAAAUACACUUGACAAAAGACAACCUCAGUAUCGGGAAGCAUAUCCAGCACAGCAUUGAUCAAGUAUGAUUCAUCUGAAUAUUUAAGAACAACAACAUUCCUGAACCUUGGUUGUACCUUGACUUUGAAUGCAAGGAAACAACCCAAUAGCCUAUCUAGUGCUUGAGGAGAGGCAUUUAAAUCAACAUUGUCAUCCUUGCGGGAAAAAAAUCAGUGACUUAAAAUGAACAAUGAAAAUGGAUAGCAACCUAACAAAUUUUGAUUGUAAAUUAAAAAACAUUGCAUGAUAAUACAAUAACAUACUGCUAUUUUGAGCUUGUUGACUUCAUCCACUGAUUGACCAAUUAACUCUGCACAUUCAUGGUCCCAGAGCAAAAGUUUGGUCUGUUCGCCCUUGUGAUUAACCAUCACUUCAACUCUAUAACUGCCAAUGUACAUACCAGUAUAAGAAAAAGUAAUUGAUGAAGGUCAUACCAAUUAAGCAGUGAAUAUCAAUGACCUUAGUACAGGUUGAUCGUUGUCUUUGCCACAUGGACAUGUGAAUGACACAGUUUCUAUGUCAGUUUUUUUGUGACAUUGACUACAAGCCGGAUAGCAUCAUGAAUGGUUGUCCAUCACUAUAGUUGUAAUCAUGGCGACAGUAACACAUACAAUUUCCUGUUUGAAAAAAUUGGCAUUAGAUUUUGUACAAAGAGAAGUUACAAAUGAAUAAGAACAUCACCUCGGAAUUGGCAUUAAUCUGAUAGUUUGCUUCAGCCUUUGACAGAAACGCAUCUUUUAAUGAUAAUUGAGAUGACCCGGAAACCUAUGAACUCCCUUGUCCAAUAGGAGUCAAAACUGAUCUAACCUCAAUCCCUAAAUCUAAAAGCCUAUAAGAAUAAAACAAAUGCAAAAACCCAGCAAAGAUUAGUUACAUAUUUAACGGUUUGAAAUUACAAACACGAAACUAACACAUUGUCAAAAUACCUCUCUCUGAAUUCUUGAAUUUCCAACACAAGCUCGUUGAUCAUGAGUUUAGACGCCUUCAAAGAAUUACUGACUGACGGCAGAUAUGAUCCUGUAGAUCAGACCCCAAAAAAAUAUUAUCUAGUGAGCAUGACAAUUGAGAAAUUUGACAUUACACUAACCCUGGCCUUCCUUGAUCCUAGCAUGUGUCAAAACAAUAACGAUGGGCCUUUCAUCUUCAACCUCAUUCAAGUAAGACAAAAACUAUAAGCAGUAAUUUUCCCAGAGUGUGCAGGAUAGCACCUGCCCACUAUCAGAAGCAAACAACAAUAAAUGUAUCAGUAUAUCAAUAUCUAAUCAUCACCAGAUACAAAUAACAAUUACACACACUCAAAACUUAAAUUCUAAAACAUAACCUCAAAUCCUUUAAUUUGAAAACAACCCUUGUAUUUUUUGAUGAGACAUAUCAGAAUACCACUUCAUCAACCACGCCAAUAACGUCUAAAGCAACCACAAGAUAAACGCAUAUUAUUUGAAAAGCCAUAAGUACCUCAAUCAAAAUCAAUGCACAAAUUGCAAACAAUCUUACCAACCAAGAGUCCAGUUUGAAAAUCACGAGUAAUGACAGUGGAAAAAUCAACAAAUCUAAAUUUCCUAAAAGUUAGGUGUUCCGUAUCAGAUUGCCUAACAACAGUAACUCUAGUAAAAGAUAAUUUAUAUUCAUGAUCACAAAUUUUGAAUUGACAAUCAUUCUUCAUAACUUUAAAAUUAUGCAUCACAUAAGUCAAAUUUUCCUUCAAAUCAGCCUUCGAAGACUUUAGCUGAUCUUGUUUGCAAACAACAUGGAUAUAAAUACAAAGAAUAUAAAUACCUGAUUGAAUGGUCAAUAAUAUAGUAUAUAACAAUAAAAAAAAUGGGAAAAAACAUACAUCAUAAUCAACAAUAACCAUUUCGACUUGUUCAGACUUUUCAGGGAUCCCAAUGAACCAAAGAUCAGUGAUCCUUGCAAAAAGCUUAAGAGUUUUCCUUGAUCCAUCUAUCAACUUAAUCUUAUCAAGAACACGUGCCAUAACUUUAUAUAAAAUUGGUUGCUCGUAAAUCUAUAUAAAAUUGGUUGCUCGUAAAUCUAUGAUGUAGGCAAUCGCAAACCCUGAACAACAACACCAGGAAAAAUAGAACAUCAGUUAAAAACCAAGCAUAUAGUCGAACGAGAAAAAAAUUAAAUUACCACCUCAACCAUAGGAAACCAAAGUUAACAAUCUAUGACCAAAAAAACAAAGAAGAAAACUCAGAAACACACAUAAGACCGCAAGAAACUUUGUAAAGACAAUCAUGCAUAUGAUUCAGUAAAAAUAAACACCUGAUCAUGUGAGUAAACAUAGUUAACAAAAGAGUUGGCAAACAUAUAAGAAUGCAUUAACACGAAACUUAGCAAAGCAUACAAAAAACAACCAUCCCCAACAUAAACACACAACAACAUCGGUACAAAAAUUAAGGCUCAACUUCUCUCAGCCAAACCGAACAAAGUUCAUUAAACUGUAAAAUAACAAAAAAAAGGUAAGACACACAUGCACAACAUAAAUAGCCAAACCUAGUUCAUUAAACUGUAAAAUAACAAAAAAAAAAAGGUAAGACACACAUGCACAACAUAAAUAGCCAAACCUAGUUCAUUAAAAUGUAAAAUAACAAAAAAAAAAAGGUAAGACACACAUGCAUAACAUAAAUAGCCAACAACAUGGGUACAAAAGUAUAACUUUGAUUUCUCGCACCCAAAACGAACAACCAAGCAAAGGCAAACUGUAAAACAAGCGUAACUCAUUAAAACACAAAAAACGAAAGUUAGAAAAACACCGAAAAAAAGUUCUAAAAUCAGGGGGAAAAGGUAGCACAGGCAUGCACAACAUAAACAUUACCUUUUCAUCUCACAGCUAAGCUGAGCAACGGAGCAAAACCAAACUGAAAAACAAACUUCUCAACCAAAGAAAAGUUGUAAAAUCACAGUCAUGCACAACAUAAAAGUUAGAAAACAAAGCACGAAAGUCAGAAAAACAUCCAAAAAGAGUUCUAAAAUCACUCGAAAAAGGUAACACACAUACAAAGUGAAAACAAACCGAACGCAAAGACAUUCAGCAAAAAAACAUAACACAACCGAAGGCAUGUUAAGGCAUGCACAACAUAAACAUUACCUUUUCUUCUCACAGCCAAGCCGAGCAACGAAGCAAAACCAAACUGGAAAACAAAAAGAAAACUGAAAACAAAUCGAAGGCAAAGACAUUCAGCAAAAAAACAUAACACAGCCAUACUCAGUAUACUAAAAAGCUCACACCUUGAAAUCCAGAAGCAAGCAAAGAGAAAAGAAACAGUUUUGUUUUCCAACUGGAAAAUGAAGCAAACCAAAAUGACACAACAACGGCUAACGGGAUUCUACAAAACACCCAAACCAUGUGCCCAACCAAAGAGUGGAAGCUAGCUUAACCAUCAGACACAUUGCACAACAGUUGCUUUUGGGGAAAAAAGAAACACGUAAACCAAAACAUGUGUUGUUGUUGAAGAAGAAAGCAAAAUGACCAUAAAAUGACCAUAAACCCAGGAAAAGGGACACGUGGCAAUUUUCUAAGCAGGGGCACAAUAGACUUUUUCCUCUACUUUUCUUUUAUAAUAUAGGAUAUAGAUUGGUAGACAUUAGUCAUCUUUUUCAAUUUGAUAUGCAUUAUUACCACCAUAUGAAUGGCUGGUGUUAUAUUUUUGGAUUUGACUUUCCAUUUAUUUAAUCAAUGGAAAUCCAUAUAAUUAUGUGAUCCAUAUAAUCAUUUUUUACAUGAUUUUCAUAACAAGUAUUUUAGAGUUAUUCUUUAUCUUCCUUAAAUUUUUUGUAAUUUAAUUGUUAAGAUUAACUAUUCAUUCAAAUCAUUAUUAGAUUUUAGGCUAAAUCAUAAUUUUGAUCUCCUAUAAUUUUAAAUUUGUGUUUAUCUCCUUAUUUCUAAAUCAAAACAUUUAAUUCUCCUAUUUUUUAGAAUAACUAAUUUUGAUCAGUAUGCCAGUUGAUCAUCCAAAGUCAAAUGUUAACUUUGAUGUAACAUGUAUUAGCCUAACAUAAUGCUUACGUGGGUUGUGGGCAUAGCGCUUAUGUGAUAAAGGAUUAAAUAAAGUGAAAAACAAAAAGAUCUUAAUAAGAAUUGAAUUCAUGACCUUUUAUUUAAACACAAAGCAAUAAAUACCUAAGAUAUUUGUUUUGUUUAAUUAAUUUCAAACACUAUUUUAAAUGUAUCAUUAGUCAAAAGUUAUUAACUUUUUAUUAUAAAAAAUUAUAAAUUAAUAUAAAUUAUUUAAUAUUUAAAUAAAAUUAAUAUUUUAUUUUAUUUUAUUUUAAUAUAAAUUAAUAAAAAUUGUUCUUAUUUUAUAAAUUUUUUUAAAAAAUACAUAAACUAAUAUAUGGGUUAUUUUAAAAACUUUUUUUAUUUAAUUUUUACAAAUUAGGUAAGUUUAAAAUAAUAUUUAAAUAAUAUAAAAAAAUUGAUUAAUUUUUAAAAUUAAAAUUAAAAUUCAUAUUAUUUAUAUAUAAAAUUAUAUGUACAUAGUUUUUAGAAAUUACAUAAAGUAAUUUAUAUAAAUAAUUUACAUAUUAAUUUAUAUAAUUUCUUCAUUUAUAUAAUUGGUAUUAAAAACUUGUUUACUACAUAAUUUUUAUAGUUAAACAAUAAUAUUAACAUGAAGUUUCCAAAAAUAAAUAAAUAUUUAAAUUUUAUGAAUUUAUAUAAUUAUAAUAAAAAGAAUUUACAUAUUCAAAUAAAUUUACAUAAUUUGUAUAACUUACAUAUUAAUUGAUGCAAUGAUAUUGAUUUAUAUAACUAGAGUAAAGUAAUAUUUAUAUCAAAAUAAAUUUACAAAAUAAUUUAUAUAUGAAUUUAUCAAAUUUAAUUAUAAAUUAGUAAAAUUAAAUAAAAAUAUGUAAACUAUUCAAACUAAUAUAUAUAUAUAUAUAUAUAUAUAUAUAUAUAUAUAUAUAUAAUGAUAUAAAAUAAAAUUAAAAAGAUGUAUAUAUAUUAAAUAUUUAAUUUAAUUUAUAAAUUUUUAUAAUUUAAAAAAUUAAUAACUCUUGACUAAUGAUAUAUAUAAAAUAAUAUUUAUAAAAUUAACUAAGAAAAGCAAAUAUUUUAAUAGUUUAUGACGUUAUCUUUGAAUAAGAGGUCAUGAGUUUAAUUUUUACUAAGAUUUUUUUGUAUUUUUUUACUUUAUUUAACUCAUUGUCAUAUAAGCAUCAUGUAAACAAUCUAUAUAAGUGUCACACCAACGCUAAUACAUCACAUCAAAGUCAACAUUUGACUUUGACUUUGGAUGAUCAACUAAUGAAAGGACCAAAAUUGUUUACUCUGAAAAAUAGGAGACUAAAUGUCUUGAUAUAGAAAUAAAGGGAUCAAAAUUCUACAUUUAAAAUUAUAGGGAGACCAACAUUACAAUUUAGUCUAGAUUUUAAGAAAAUGAAUAACAAGGAUGAAGAGUAACUCAUCUUUUACAAUUAUUCUUGGAGUAACUCUCUCUCUCUCUCUCUUUAUAUAUAUAUAUAUAUAUGACGGUGGAUCAACUUAUUCCAGGAGUUACUCCUCAUCCUCUCCCUUGAUCACGUCUACACUUUUCGUGAUACUGACUAGAUGUGGAGCAUGGGGUAUAGGCCGGAGUAGCGAACUUUGAUUGUCUUUGUGUCUACUUUUGACAAGAAUCUCAUUCGGUCGAUCAAGGUUCAAAAUGCCACUGAUUCUGCAAAGGUCAUUCCACGGAGGAGUCUAGCAAUCUUGGAGGAAAAUGGACAACGACACCAGAAAGCUCUGAGCAAGGUGACAUCCUUAGAGGCAGAGGAAAAUGGACAACGACACCAAAAAACUCUGAGCAAGGUGACGUCCUUAGAGGCUGAGGUCACCAAGUGGAGGGUCAUUACUCGAACUGUUUGGAGAGUGAAGCAUCCUAAUACAUAACAAAUGAUUAUAUUUGUAUUUUAACAAUGAAAAGUUGUCACAUAGAAGUAAGAGAAAGGAAAAGUAGUUUGUACAUAAAAAGGAUAAAUUAACAUGAGAUUAUUAAAGGUUAUCAUUUAUCAAGGUAUUGAAGGUUAUGAAGUGUUGUACAUGAAUGUCUAUAUUACCUUCAAGAAAAAGAGAAGAAAUUAUAAGUAAUGAAAGAAAAAGAAAAAAAAAGAAUCCAUGAAAAUCUCAAUGUUUUUUGUGGGAUAGUUUAAUGAAUAUUUUCUAUUGACAAAUCACAUAAAAUCCAUACUAAAAAGGAAUCGAUUGAAAUCUUUAUAUUUUUAAAUACCAGAAGACUUUUUUUAAUCUUAAAAAUAUCUUAAUUGAAUAUUAUUGGAUUUCAUUGUAGUUCUUAAAAAAUCCCAAUAAUCUUAAUUGAAUACCACAAUACUUAUUUAUGUCAUUUAAAAGUCUUGAUUGAAUAUCUCAAGACUUUUUUUAUAUAAAAAAAAAAUCUUUUAAAAUCCUUCAAAAUUCCAAUCCAAUACAUUCCCAUAAUGUUCUAAGUCCUAGUAUAAAACUAAUUAUUUUUACAUGUUAUAUUAGAGCAAGUUAUACUAGGUUUAAAAUUCUAUUAUUUAGGGUUUAGUUAUAUAAUAUAAACAUUUUGGGGAAUGAGUUUUUGGUAAAAAAAGAUUUAUUAUUGUUAAAUUAAAUAGUUAACAAGAUUUAAUUCGCACAAGUAUUUUGAUAAAUAUUUUGGAGAAUGAGGUUUUGGUAAAAAAAAAAAGUUGUAUAUAUAUUUAUUGAAGUAAAAAGGUUACUCUCUCACAUAUAUAGUAGUACUUCAAUGAAAUGAUCUUUUUAACACCUUUAAAAUUUGGAUUCAACGACAAUUGGUACUAUUUCCUACCAACAACUAAUCGCUGACUAAGAGGACCAAUCACUGACUUCCAAUAAAUAAUGGCAAGCAUGCUUAUUGUUGGGCUGUGACCUAAAUCCAUAUGGAAGAUUAUUCUGUUAUUUUUUCUAUUUUGUCCUCUGCAUAUAUAAGGCAAGGAUGCCCUGCAUUUUCUAGACAGAGGAUAAGCUUCCACUUGUAUACUGCAACCAUAAUAAAAAAGCUUUCUGUUUUUCCCUCCCGUGGAUGUAGCCUUGAUCAAGGUGAACCACGUAAUUUUGUGUGUGUUCUUUCUCUCCUUUCUUCUCUUUCAAUUCUGCUGCAAUUUUGUGUGUAUGACAUUUCUGGUAUGUUGAAUUUUCUGCUGCUUUCUUGUUUGUUCUUCAUCACUUCCAUAACAAACUGGUAUCAAGAGCUCUAGUUGCGAUCAAGGGAAUUCAAGAUUCUCGUCUGAAUACAAAGAUCAAGUUGUAGGAGUCUUGUUUCUGGUUCUUUCGCUGCUUCUUGGUGAUCAAGAACACUCAAGAAAUUAUGUCAAACACAAUCAGUAUUGAGAAAUUCAAUGGAAAGAACAGCUUCAAUCUGUGGCGCAUCAAGAUGCGUGCUUUGUUGAAGGAACAACGUGUUUGGGCUGUUGUUGCUUCUGCAUCUGUGAAGAAAGAAGUGGCUUCUGAAUCAAAAGAAAAGACCUCUAUUUCAAAGACUGAAGAACUUGCAAAACAAGAAGAAAAGGCUCACUCACUAAUCUUGCUUUCCUUGUCUGAUGAAGUUUUAUAUGAAGUUGCAAAUGAAGAAACUGCAAGUGGCUUAUGGCUCAAGUUGGAAAAGCUGUAUAUGACUAAGUCAAUCUGCAACAAGCUCUUCUUGAAGAGGCGUUUAUUUGGUUUACACAUGAAAGAAGGUACAUCUCUUAUAGAUCAUCUUGAUGAAUUAAAUUCUAUUUUGAUGGAAUUAAGAGAUAUAGAUGUUAAGAUAGAGGAUGAAGAUGCUUCCAUGAUUCUGUUAGCGUCUCUACCACCAUUAUAUGAAAGCUUUGUCAAUUCCCUUAGUGUUGGUAAGGAAUGUGUCACCAUGGAGGAGAUGAAAUCCAGCUUAUACUCAAGGGAACUUCGCUCUAAAGCAUCUAGAAAUUCUGAAGAAUCAAAUGGAUCUAGUCUUGUUGCCUCUAACUCUAACAAGAACAUCAAGAAAAAUGUGUUUAAAGGAAAGAAGAAGACUCAUGUCAAUCCAAAGGAUAUCUGUAACUAUUGCAAGGAGCCAAGUCAUUGGAAGAAAGAUUGUCCCAAGAAAAAGGGCAAACCAUCUGCUGCUAUUGCCAAGGAAGGUUCCACAUCUGAAAAUGAGCUUGUUCUCUCAGUUGCUAAUCAUCACCAACAUUCUGAAAAUCAAUGGAUAUUAGACUCUGGACGUUCCUUUCAUAUGUGUCCUAACAAAACCUGGUUUGACACCUAUGAAGAGAAAUCGGGUGGAAAUGUCUUUAUGGGAAAUGAUGUCUCAUGCAAGACAGUUGGAAUUGGCACAAUAAAAAUCAAGAUGCAUGAUGGAAUUAUUCGAACACUCACUGAAGUUAGGCAUGUUCCAGACCUGAAGAAGAAUCUAAUCUCUAUAGGUAUUAUGGAUGGAAAAGGGUUCAAAUGCAGCACUGAAAAUGGGGUCACGAAAAUUCAUAAAGGCUCUACAAUGGUGAUGAAGGGUAUAAAGAAGGGUAAUCUUUAUAUACUUCAAGGUACAACAUGUAUUGAUGAUGGUCUAGUAGCUGUUGCAUCAAGAUCCAAUAAGAGCAUACCUGACUUAACUCAAUUGUGGCACAUGAGGCUAGGACAUAUGAGUGAAAAAGGUAUGAUGAUACUUCAAAAACAGCAGCUGUUAGGAAAUCAGAAAUUGGAUGAACUGAAAUUCUGUGAGCACUGUGUUUUCGGCAAGCAACAUAGGAUUAAAUUUUCAAAAGCAAUUCACACCACCAAAGGAACUCUUGAUUACAUUCAUGCUGACUGUUGGGGGCCUGCAAGAGUACCUUCUCUAGGUGGUGGAAGGUAUUUUCUGUCCAUAAUUGAUGACUACUCAAGGAUGACUUAGAUCUACAUCAUGAGUCAGAAGAGUCAAGCUUUCAAAUGCUUCAAAGAAUGGAAAGCACUGAUUGAAAAAUAAAAUGAAAGGAAAGUUAAAAGACUCAGAACUGAUAAUGGCUUGGAGUUUUGCUCAACAGAAUUUAACAAAUUCUACAGAGAUGAAGGAAUUGCUAGACAACUUACCGUUAGGAACACUCCUCAGCAAAAUGGAGUUGCUGAAAGAAUGAACAGAACACUCCUGGAAAGAACAAGAUGCCUGUUAUCCAAUGCUGGUCUCAACAGAAGUUUUUGGGGAGAAGCUAUCAAUACAGCUUGUCUUCUAAUCAAUAGAACACCCUCUAGUGCUAUAGGACUUAAAACUCCUAUUGAAAUCUGGAAUGGCAAAACAGCAAACUACUCAAACCUAAGAGUAUUUGGCUGCAAUGCUUAUUAUCAUGUCAAUGAAGGAAAGCUAGUAUCUAGAUCAAGAAAUGGUUUGUUCAUGGGUUAUGGUGAUGGGGAGAAAGGCUAUAGGAUCUGGUCACCAUCCGAAAAGAAAGUUCUACUCAGCAGAGAUGUAAUUUUUGAUGAAUCACACCUGUUUUAUCCCAAGCUUGAGGUUCCAAUUGUUGGAACACAAAGCUGCCACUCUCCUCAAGAAAAGGAUGUAGAAUCUAUAGCCAAAGACUUAGAAAAAGGGGGUCAUUCCAAAACAUCUCCUGUGGUUCUUCAAGAAGGUGAGAAAUUAGAAGAUUUCAGUGCAAAUGAGUCUCAUUUGGCUGCUGAACCUGAUCCUCCACAGCUCAAUUCUGAAAUCAAUCAGAGACCAAAAAGGAUCACUAAACCUCCUGACAGAUAUGGCUUUGAAGACAUGGCUGCCUAUGCAUUACAUGCAGCUAAAGACAUAGAUUCAAAUGAACCAGCCACUUACCAAGAAGCUAUCAAUCAUCCUGAAGCUAAAAAUUGGUUGUUAGCUAUGAAAGAGGAAAUGGAAUCUUUAUAUAAGAAUCAGACCUAGAAACUUGUUGAACUACCUAAAGGAAGACAUGUGGUAGGCUGCAAGUGGAUAUACAAGAGGAAACCUGGUCUUUCAGAAAAGGAAGGGAUAAGAUACAAGGCUAGGUUAGUUGCCAAGGGAUUCAGCCAGAAAGGAGUAGAUUUCAACGAAAUUUUUUCUCCUAUGGUUAGACAUACAUCCAUCAGGGUUUUGCUUGCUAUAGUGGCAAACCAAGAUCUGGAACUUGAACAACUUGAUGUCAAGACUGCUUUUCUCCAUGGAAGAUUGGAAGAAAAUAUUCUAAUGAAACAGCCUGAAGGUUUUGAAGUUCAAGGAAAAGAAAGGUAUGUUUGUUAACUACAGAGGUCCUUGUAUGGGUUGAAACAAUCUCCAAGGCAAUGGUACAUGAGGUUUGACAGCUUUAUCACCAGCCAAGGAUUCAAGAGGAGUCUCUAUGACAGCUGUGUUUAUCACAACAAGGUGGAGGAUGGAUCAAUGAGUUAUCUUCUACUCUAUGUAGAUGGCAUGCUUAUUGCAGCAAAAAGCAUGUGUGAUAUACAAAAUCUGAAGAUUCUCCUGAAUGGUGAAUUUGAUAUGAAAGAUCUAGGGGCUGCGAAGAAAAUCUUAGGAAUGGAAAUCUAUAGGGACAGAACUCAGAAAAGGCUAUUUUUGUCUCAAAAGGAUUACAUUCAGAAAAUACUUGUAAGGUUUGGAAUGGCUGACUCUAAACCUUUCAGCACUCCCCUUUCAGAAAAAAAGAAGUUGUCUGCUAUGAUAAAGGUUCAAGCUCAAGCUGAUCAGGACUACAUGUCAAAGGUUUCAUACUCAAGUGUUGUUGGCAGUCUCAUGUAUGCCAUGGUCUGCACUAGACCUGACCUUGCUUAUGUUGUUAGCAUGGUUAGUACGUUAUUAAACCAACCUCAGAAGGAACAUUGGAAGGCUGUUAACUGAAUUUUCAGAUAUCUUAAAGGGACUACAGAUGUAGGUUUGAUCUAUGGAUCUCAUCCAAAUUGCUGCCUCACUGGCUAUUCUGAUGCAGAUUUUGCUGCUGAUCUAGUCAAGAGAAGGUCAUUAACAGGGUAUGCUUACACCCUUGGUGGCUGCUUGGUGAGUUGGAAGGCAACACUUCAACCUUCUGUUGCCUUCUCAACUACUGAGGCUGAAUAUAUGGCUCUUACUGAAGCUGCGAAGGAAGGAAUUUGGCUGAGAGGUCUGAUAAAUGAUCUCGGAAUUAAUCAAGAAUAUGCUAACAUCUACUGUGACAGCCUUAGUGCUAUAUGCUUGGCCAAGGACCAGGUUCAUCAUGAUAGAACCAAGCAUAUAGAUGUUAGAUAUCACUUCAUUCGGUCAGAAAGAAGAAUCAAAGUUCAUAAGAUCAGCACUCUGCACAAUCCUGCUGAUAUGUUCACAAAGCUAGUUCCGAAGAGCAAGUUUGAUCAUUGCUUAAGCUUGCUCAAUGUUGAUUGUUGGGGUUAAGAUCUUGUGUGGUUGGAGGGAGCAGUUUGUGUCCUAUAUGGAUGUUAGUUCAAGGUGGUGAAUUGUUGGGCUAUGACUCAUAUGGAAGAUUAUUCUGUUAUUUUUUCUGUUUUGUCCUCUUUCUAUAUAAGGCAAGGAUGCCCUGUAUUUUCUAGACAGAGGAUAAGCUUCCACUUGUAUACUACAACCAUAAUAAAAAAGCUUUCUGUUUUUCCCUCCCAUGGAUGUAGCAUUGAUCAAGGUGAACCACAUAAUUUUGUGUGUUCUUUCUCUCCUUUCUUCUCUUUCAAUUCUGCUACAAUUUUGUGUGUAUGACAUUUAUGGUCUAUUGCAUUUUCUGCUACUUUCUUGUUUGUUCUUCAUCACUUCCAUAACACUUAUAAUGUGUGCAUGUGACAGAAGAAUUUCCACUUGGCCGACCCUUGGCUUGCGGCAACAUGAAACAACAAAAAUGUAACUUGAGUUACAUUUCAUGGGACCAUAGCUGAAUCACCCCCUGGAAAUAGACUCCUUUAACCAUUCAGCUAAAUGAAAAUGAAAACCACUGCUCAAGGUACAGUCACACCAAUCAUUAAAUCAAACGCUCCUCAUCUAUUGCUCUCAAUUAAAACACUUGGCAAUCAAAAUAGCAACACUUUAAGUUUAAGACCGAAGUAACCAUAAACCAUGAAGAAGAUUUGUCAUUUGCCAGUUCAUAAUAUCACCACCGACAAGGUUUGUCUGGGUGUUAUUUGAGGUAAAAUGCACUAUAAAAAGCUAGAUUUUAAAUUGUAAAAUCUUCAUGGUGGUAAAAUUGUAUACUCUCUAUAAUAGUGUGCAUGAUAGUCAUUUUUUCCUAGUAAAACCUAGAUUACACAAUUUGAAGGGAGUAUACAAUUUACUAUGUGAAUUCAGUAGAAGUACUGCAAUUCACAUAGUAAAUUCAGUUAGAUUACUGUAUAUAGUGUGCAUUUUAUUGUUUUGCAACGCAAAAUGAUACUAGUCAUGUUUUCCCAGUUUUCCCAGUAAACCUAGACUACAAAUGAAUUCCGUGAAAGUACUGCAAUUCACAUAGUAAAAUUGUAUACUCUCUAUAAUUUGAGAUUAUUACAUAUUUCUAGCAUAAAUCUUGAGAGAACAUUUUUUUUUGUUUCAUCAUAUAAAAUAUAUAUGUUCUGAAAGAACACAUACAAGUACACAAAAAAAAGGGGGAAAUUCAUAAAAAAAUACAGAAAAAAAAAAACAGAAUUGAGUAAGAGGGAAGGAAACAUAGAGAAAAUUUUAGCAAUCAGAUAAUAAGAAGCCAGUAGUAGUGCAAAAGUCCCUUGCCAAGAGUGUUGGAACCCCUUUUAGUUAAGCAGGUACCUUCUCCCCCUUGAGUGGCUUCACCACUUCCCAUGUGAAGUCAGGGUCAUCUCUGCCAAAGUGUCCAUAUGCAGCAGUCUUCAAGAACCUGCCAUUUCCACCCCUCUUGAGAUCAAGGUUGAUGGAGAUCAUGCCAGGCCUGAAGUCAAAACUCUCCUUCACAAUGCUGAGGAUUUCCUUGUCAGGGAUCUU
rnacentral:lncRNA from 1 species